UAUGUGUGUUUUGGGCAGGAUCGUUACUCAUUAAUGUUAUGGCUGAUGUACAACAAGCGCAGCAACGGGAAUGAAUCUCCGUCGGCCUCUGCAUCCAAGGAGCCAAAAGAGGGCAUGCAGAAGAAUUGGCGCUCAGGUUGAGGACUUCAACGCCGCCUUCAUUAUGGUUGUGUCUUCUUCUCAUUGGGAAUAACAUCAGGUGGCACCGGCCGGUGAGCUGGAAGGCAUUACUCUGACACGCACCGUAUCAUCUUCUUUGUCAGAGACCCACAAAAUGAGUGUUCCGGAGGUAGAUAAAAAUAUGGUUAACAUCUUAUCCCUUGGGGUUUGUAUCACCUGAGAUUGGUUAAGCUGG